GAUGAAGAACGUAGCGAAAUGCGAUAAGUAAUGUGUAUUGCAGAAUUCAGUGAAUCAUCGAAUCUUUGAACGCACAUUGCGCCCCCUGGUAUUCCGGGGGGCAUGCCUGUCCGAGCGUCAUUACAACCCUCAAGCUCAGCUUGGUGUUGGGCCCCGCCGCCCCGGCGGGCCCUAAAGUCAGUGGCGGUGCCGUCCGGCUCCGAGCGUAGUAAUUCUUCUCGCUCUGGAGGUCCGGUCGUGUGCUCGCCAGCAACCCCCAAUUUUUUUCAGGUUGACCUCGGAUCAGGUAGGGAUACCCGCUGAACUUAAGCAUAUCAAUAAGCGGAGGA
rnacentral:misc_RNA from 1 species